rnacentral:rRNA from 1 species
GGAUUGUAAACCUCUGUUGACGGAGAAAAAAAUGAUGGUAUCCGUUUAGAAAGCCACGGCUAAUUACGUGCCAGCAGCCGCGGUAAUACGUAGGUGGCAAGCGUUGUCCGGAAUUACUGGGUGUAAAGGGAGUGUAGGCGGGAUAUCAAGUCAGAAGUGAAAAUUACGGGCUCAACUCGUAACCUGCUUUUGAAACUGACAUUCUUGAGUGAAGUAGAGGCAAGCGGAAUUCCUAGUGUAGCGGUGAAAUGCGUAGAUAUUAGGAGGAACACCAGUGGCGAAGGCGGCUUGCUGGGCUUUUACUGACGCUGAGGCUCGAAAGCGUGGGGAGCAAACAGGAUUAGAUACCCUGGUAGUCCACGCCGUAAACGAUGAUUACUAGGUGUGGGGGGAUUGACCCCUUCCGUGCCGGAGUAAACACAAUAAGUAAUCCACCUGGGGAGUA